GACGAACGCUGGCGGCGUGCUUAACACAUGCAAGUCGAACGGAAAGGCCCUGCUUUUGUGGGGUGCUCGAGUGGCGAACGGGUGAGUAACACGUGAGUAACCUGCCCUUGACUUUGGGAUAACUUCAGGAAACUGGGGCUAAUACCGGAUAGGAGCUCCUGCUGCAUGGUGGGGGUUGGAAAGUUUCGGCGGUUGGGGAUGGACUCGCGGCUUAUCAGCUUGUUGGUGGGGUAGUGGCUUACCAAGGCUUUGACGGGUAGCCGGCCUGAGAGGGUGACCGGCGACAUGGGGACUGAGAUAGGGCCCAGACUCCUACGGGGGGCAGCAGUGGUGAAUAUGGCACAAUGGGCGGGAGCCGGAUGCAGCAACGCCGGGUGCGGGAUGACGGCCUUCGGGUUGGAAACCGCUUUAGCCUGUGACGAAGCUUGUGUGACGGUAAUGGGUAAAGAAGCACCGGCUAACUACGUG
rnacentral:rRNA from 1 species